ensembl:lncRNA
CGACAACUAUAACAACAGCAACGACAACGGUAACAACAGUAAUUACUACGAUAUUAACAGUAAAUACAACAACAGUAACUACUACAAUAACAAUGAUUACAGUGAUAAUAUCAACAGUUUAAAGCUAACGGACAGUAUAAAUUCGAAACACAUUAACCCAGUUGAAACAUUUUUUGAAUAUAAAAAUGACGAUUUCAGUGACUUAAAUAAUAAUAAAGAGUUGAUAGGAGACGAUCUAACAAACAUUAACGAAAUGGAUGAAAGUCUUAAUAAAAUAAUUUUAUCAAAUAGAGAUAACCAAGAAUUAAAAAAUUACAUGUCAUAUGAUAAACAUGAAACUGAGAUAAAAUUUAAUUAUUUAAUAAUAGAUGAAAAAAAAGAAAAAAAAAAUAUAAACACAGUAAAUAAUAUAGACGUAGUAAAUGAUAUAGACGUAGUAAAUAAUAAUAUAUUUAAUAAUGUUAAUUUUUGUAAUUUUGAAGAAGAAGAAGAAGAAGAAGAAGAAAACUUUAAUCCCAUAAAUAUAAAUAAUUAUAACAAUAAUUAUGACAAUGAACUUAACAUAAAUAAUAAUAACAACUGCUAUGAAAUAAUUAACGAUGAUGAUUCAGAUUAUAACGAUAGCAAUUUAUUUAUAGAUUCUACAAAUGACAUGAGUGAUGAAGUAGACAAUUCGAAUGGAUAUAUCACAUGCAAUUUUUAUGUACAUAAACCUAUAUAUAUAUUUGACGAACAAAAUAAACUAAAUAAUAUGAACAAAAUGGAUUUUAAAGAAGCUGAACAUAUUGAAUAUGGUGAAUAUCCUGAAUAUGGUGAAUAUCCUGAAUGUGGUAAAUAUCCUGAAUGUGGUAAAAAUAUUAUAUUUAAUUAUGAAAGGGGAGAAAAUAAUCAUAAUAAAUGUAACUAUGAAGUAAAAAAAAAAAAAAAAAAAAAAUGCAAUAUGAGAAAUAUAAAAAAAUUAAAAAAAGUAUAUAAUAACCUAAUUAAAAAAAUAAAUUAUGAUAAAAGUAUUAACAAAGUUUCUUAUAAAUUAUAUGACAAAAAUAAUAACUUUUUAACAGAAGACUAUAAAUGCAAAAAUAUAAAAAACAUUUGGGUCACAUUUACAAAAAAUAAUGUGAAUAAAAUAAAAAAUAUAAACAAUUUAAUUGGUACCAAUCACUAUCUUAUAAAUGUUAUAACAAACAAAAUUCAUACAUAUGAUAAAGAAGUCAGAGCAAUAAUAAAAAUGCAUAAGCGACAAAAAAUGUUUUUUAAAACACAUAAACAACAGCAAAUUACAAACAAAUAUAGCAAGUCGUUUCCUUGGGUGGGCGAAAAUUUGUUUGUAUGUUCUAAUAACGUUGACAAGUAUAUCAUGGCUGGAUACGCAUCGGUUUUACUGCAUCAAAAUUCAGUUUAUUUGAAAAAUUUCAACAAUUAUGCUAUGAAUAAACUUAUACCAUUAGAUUUAUUGAAUAUGAAAUCAAAGAUAAAUUUUGAAUAUACAAAUGUCAUGUUUGGAUUGUUACUAAAAGCUGUCAGCUCGUAUUUGAACUGCACAAUAAAUGAUUUACUUGCGGUUUCUAGAUGUAUUGAAAAUGUACUAAGAAUGUUUAUCUAGUAUAUGUAAUAAAAAAUUUGCACUAUACA